rnacentral:rRNA from 1 species
AUUGAACGCUGGCGGCAGGCCUAACACAUGCAAGUCGAGCGGAUGAAGGGAGCUUGCUCCUGGAUUCAGCUGCGGACGGGUGAGUAAUGCCUAGGAAUCUGCCCGGUAUUGGGGGAUAACGUCCGGAAACGGGCGCUAAUACCGCAUACGUCCUGAGGGAGAAAGGGGGGGAUCUUCGGACCUCACGCUAUCAGAUGAGCCUAGGUCGGAUUAGCUAGUUGGUGGGGUAAAGGCCUACCAAGGCGACGAUCCGUAACUGGUCUGAGAGGAUGAUCAGUCACACUGGAACUGAGACACGGUCCAGACUCCUACGGGAGGCAGCAGUAGGGAAUCUUGGACAAUGGGCGAAAGCCUGAUCCAGCCAUGCCGCGUGUGUGAAGAAGGUCUUCGGAUUGUAAAGCUCUUUUAGUUGGGAGGAACGGCAGUAAGUUAAUCCCUUGCUGUUUUGACGUUACCAACAGAGUAAGCACCGGCUAACUUCGUG